rnacentral:snoRNA from 1 species
UUGCAGCCAGUUAAGCCAACAAUUCUCCUUUCUCUGUGGGGGCCCAGUGUGCAAACAGCAGCCUCCUCAGUAGGAUAUGCAGCCUAUUGCUUGUCUGGGUUGUCCUGGGGACCUUGGAGAUGGCU